rnacentral:rRNA from 1 species
GAGGAAUUUUCCCCAAUGGGCAGCAAGCCUGACGGAGCAACGACACGUGUGGGAGGAGUAAACUCCUUUGUCAACCACUUUUCUCAGGGAAGAUUUACUGACGGUACCAUAUGAAUAAUCAUCGCCUAACUACUUGCCAGCAGCAGCGGUAAUAAUGAGGAGGCAACAAUUAUCGUCAAUUAUCGGGGGUAAAGAGUCCUCAGCAGGCGCAUCAACUAGUCGGAGAAAAAUCGGAGCUUAUCUCCCAUGGAACAGCGGAAACGGGUGUUGUAGAGGAGUACAGGAGUAGAGGGAAUUCCCAGUGUAGCGGUGAAAAAAGUAGAGAAUAGCAAGAACACCGGCGGAGAAAAAACUGGACAGGGGGGCACCUGACCAUCAGGGACCAAAAAAAAGGGAGGAAAAGGCAGGAGAAGACCCCGUAGUAGUACCCGUAAAAAACGGAUAAUAGGCGUGGGUGCAUCGACACAAGCAGUGCCGAAGCUAACGCGUAAGCAUCCCGCCUGGGAGA